UCUCUCUCUCUGUCUCUUUCUCCUUCAAAAAUAAACAUUAAAAAUUUCUUUUUAAGCUGAUGUUUCUUUUAGAGCUGAAAUUACAGAAUCUCAAAUUAGUACACUUCUCUAUUCCAUUUUUAAAAUUAGAGGACUUUGAAGAAUGAAGAAUGGAUAUCUAUCACAUUUGGUGCCCAUUAGAUCACUAUAGCAAUUUAGACCCAUAACACCCAUGUGCAAGAACAAAUUUAAUCCAGAUUGAAAACAAAUUUCAUUUCUUACGAGUAUGGCCAGUACUUUAAGUUUGUUCAUUUAUAUUACUUUGUCCUACUUUACACAACAUUUGUGUACUAAUUUAUUUAAUUGAACUCAUUUAUUAAUGGUGCUGACACAUGAGUUUCUAAUGCUGGCCUGAUACUGCAUGAUCAACCUUUUCUCCUACUGGAAUUUUUAAAUUUUUAAAGAUUUUUUUUUAUUGACGCUCUCUUUGUGUCUCUUAUGCUUUUAGCAGCCAUGUAUUUUUCCUUUUCUCUUAAGCACUUCACCACCCAACUCUACACUGCUGUAGUAUAACGCCUUUGUUCCUUUGUAUGAUUGUGAUACACCAAGGAUUUGUGCGAUUGUUGUAGCUCUUCUUUUCUUCUCCGCUGCUCACAGACCGCAUGGUGUCACCAACAUCAACUUGCUUGCCAUUCCCAGAUAAUCGCGUUUUCCUAUGAAUGGCUUUUGGAAUCCUCAGACAAGCUGUUUAUGGGUAGCCGUUCAUGUGAGGUGAACCGUAAUGAGGACAAUGUCCUCACUGUAACAGGGGAAGAAAACCAAGGUGAAACUCCACCUCCCAUUGGAAAUCAUGGAGUCACCUUCUACAAAACACUCCUAUUAAAUUAGGGAAAUGGAAUUUAAAGAUAUCAUUUUGGUCCACCUAUCUGAAAAAGCGUGAAGAAUUUCCCGGCUGCUAACUCAGCAUAUGUGACCACAUUCACCUCUGUCUGCCUGCGAGAUUAUACUCCAUAUUGUAGAAACCUCCUGCAUUGUAUGACUACCUUCAGACUAAGAAGGAAUUGUCAAAAAGAGUAUGUGUAGAAACUAGGUUGCUGGAAGGAAUACGUUUCUCAGUAGAUUGCCUUGCCCACCAGAGUGACGUGAAGAUUGGUGAUGGUCUCCCUCUCGUCCCAAAGAAAUCCUCCAUGUUCAGAGUAUUUCUCAUUGAGCGCCUGCUGGCAUUGGACCAUACAGUCUAUCAAGGUUGGAGAAGUCCUGUGCCUUGCUGGGCAAAUUGCACUAACACUUUGCACAAUGAAACUUGUGAGUGGUGGAACAUGAGCAGAAGCUUCCUUGUCCCUACACCAUACCCUGCAAAUUCUGGAGGCCACGCAUAGAGGCACUGGGCUUCCCCACGUUCUCAGGGCUCACUGUUACAUAACAAGCACCAAGUUCAUGGCAACUGCUCUGGAUUCCUGGCUGAAGAACUUCAGAACACAU